rnacentral:misc_RNA from 1 species
UCGACUCGUCGUCGUCACUCGUGUUGUGGCGCUGACGAAGUGCAUACAGUAGUUGUUCCUGUUUCAUCGGUCAAUCACAGUCAGUGCCGGCAAGUGGUGGGUGUGUACGUUUGGUUCUUCCGGUCUCGGUACAGAGGAAAAAACAGGCGCUCGAGCUCUCUCGCCGCAAACACCAGUCAUGGGCGGAUAUGCAUGGGUCACACUGGCUACAAACGAUGCCUACUCUUUGGGAGCACUGGUCCUGGCGCAUUCUUUACGUCAGGUCGGCACCAAGUACGAUCUAGCUUGUUUGGUCACGCCCGGAGUUACGGCGACGAUGAGGGAAAAAUUGGCGGCAGUAUUCUCCGUAGUGCAGGAAGUUAACGUUCUUGAUUCGAAGGAUGAGGCAAACCUUGCUCUGCUGGCUAGACCAGAAUUGGGCAUUACUUUUACCAAGUUACAUUGCUGGAGGCUAACUCAGUACGAAAAGUGUGUAUUUGUUGACGCAGACGCACUUGUCGUGCGAAAUUGCGAUGAAUUGUUCGAGCGCGAGGAAUUAUCGGCCGCACCGGAUGUCGGUUGGCCCGACUGCUUCAACUCCGGAGUAUUUGUCUUCAGACCAUCUCAACAAACAUUCGCAUCAAUCACCGCAUUCGCUGCCGCUAAGGGCUCGUUCGACGGAGGCGACCAAGGCUUAUUGAACAUGUAUUUCAGCGACUGGGCUUCCAAGGAUAUCUCCAAGCAUCUACCGUUCAUUUACAAUAUGUGUUCCACUGCGACGUACUCUUAUCUUCCUGCGUUUAAACAAUUUGGCGAAGAUGUGAGAAUAAUACACUUUAUCGGCAUAACGAAACCGUGGUUACAGUAUUUCGAUACCCUAACUGGUAUCGUCCAACCGCCAUCAGGAGUCGGACACUUGCAACCGCUGUUACAACUGUGGUGGAACAUAUUCUGCGAACGAGUGCAUCCCCAGCUGUCGAUCUCUAUGGCCAGCAGCACAUUGGCUCCAAUUUGGCACGCAUUUGCUUCCUCGUCCUACGUACCUCCCAAUCCCGCGGUCUCCGUUCACUCUGACGCGACGAGCAGCGACGUUUAUUCGCGAGCGCCGGAUUUCUCCGAGUUUAAAGAUCCCUGGGAGCAGUACUCUCCGCAGAACGAUUCGUUUCUGAAUAACAACAAUACGAAGAGCGACAAUUGCUAUUGCGCGCCGCAACACAAUCAGCAAUCACAUCACGAGCAACAGCAUUCCUCUUACACAUCGGCACCGACGUACAAUCAGCAGCAAUAUGCGCGCAACGAACAACAUUGGCAGCACGCGACUUCUUCUCACUCCGGCGAGAAUUACAACCAAGGUCAUUCCGCGCAACACACUGAGCAUCAUCAUUGGCACGAACAUCACGGCAAACAGCGCCAGUGGAACGAGCAGAAACACCAUCAUGAGCAACAUCAGCACCACGAGCAGAGACACCACGAGCAUCAGCACAAUGCGCAGCAUCAGCACAAUGCGCAGCAUCAGCAUUACGAACAGAGACACAAUGAGCAACGUCAUUACAACGAGCAGAGGCAACAUAGCGAGCAUCAUCAACACUCCGAUUCUCAUAGAAACAAAGCGGACGAUCAUCAGCACGAACCGUUUUACGGACAUUACGAUAAUGAGCGCCAAUCGUGUUCCGCUGAAGUGAAACACGAAGUUCACGCGCAACAUCAUGCUAAUGAUAGCAACCAAGCUAGUCAUCAGGAUACAAACUAUCAGAAUUAUUCGCAAAGUAGUCACGUUACGGAUAAUGAGAGUCAACAUUGUUAUCGGUGCAACGAGAUGAGUAGCGAACAGUCGUUGAAAGUUGCGAACCAGACAGAUACACGGAGAAUCGAUUCCCAUCCCGUCCCUCCCGCACCUUGUACAGAUCUCCACAAUGUAGCCACGCGAUCCGACCCGAACGUAACGGAACAUCUAGACGAUGCAAAUACGGGUCUCGCCGGUGCGCUGGCUCAACUAACGCUGGGCGAAGCGAGGAGCGCCGAGCAACUGGCGCUGGAGGAGCACGUGAGGAAGCAGAGCUGGGAGCAGGGGCAUAUUGACUAUAUGGGUCGCGACAGCUUCGACAAUAUUUGGAAGAAGAUCUGCGAGACGCUCUCCGUCGCGCCGCAACGGGAGCCAACUCCGCCUCAGGAGGAUGUACCUGAAGCUGCUGCUAAAGCUGCUGAUGAGCCUGCUGAGACCGCUACACCUGUUGAAGCGGACAAACCAGCCGGAACAGAGGACAGCAACUAACAGACCCUGGCGCCAUAGCAUUGCUGCGUCUUGUAUUGUCGUUUUGCUUUAAUGGGUCGAGGCGGAUAAGGAUCCAACGCAAUCUCUAGUAUGCAAAGUUCCCGACGAGACGCUUUCGGUGGCACAAUCUUCCGAGGGAAAAGC